UACGGAGGGUGCGAGCGUUAAUCGGAAUUACUGGGCGUAAAGCGCACGUAGGCGGCUAUUUAAGUCGGAUGUGAAAGCCCUGGGCUCAACCCAGGAACUGCAUCCGAUACUGCGAGGCUUGAGUAUGGAAGAGGGAAGCGGAAUUCCUGGUGUAGCGGUGAAAUGCGUAGAUAUCAGGAGGAACACCUGUGGCGAAAGCGGCUUCCUGGUCCAUUACUGACGCUGAGGCACGAGAGCGUGGGGAGCAAACAGG
rnacentral:rRNA from 1 species